AAAAUUACCGCUUAAUAAAAAAUAAAAUCCAAAAUGUCGUUUCUAGACCUAGUUUAUCUUUAUUGAACUAAAAGCGAGUGGACGAUCGUGUUCUUCAUAUUCCAUUCACGAAGAUAUGGAUUGCACAAUUUCUGAGGAGGAAUUAAACUCACAUAAAUGCUACCAUACUAAAAAUCCCAGCUUAGGGAUCGGGUUUUUAGGUAUUAGGGUUUCUGCCACCAUUUCAGUUAGUUAGUAUAACUUAAUCGUUUGCUUAGGUAAUUAGGUGUUAGCAUCCAUGAUCGAGUGCAAUGAAUCAAAAGAUGCAGCGGGAUGAUGGACUAUUUAUCAGUUAAAUUUCUUCAAUUUUGUAUUCUAAUUAGAGAAGUAACUGUAUAUGAAAGAAUACUAUACUCUUGGUUCUUGAUUUUAGUACUUUCCAAAUGCAAA